GGUUAAUCCAUACGCUUAACGUAUGGGCUGCCGGAAAUACUACAAAGCUAGGGAGUGGGAGAGGUAGACGGUACUCGGUAGGAAGGGGUAAAAUCCUUUGAUCUAUUGAUGACCACCUGUGGCGAAGGCGGUCUACCAGAACACGUCCGACGGUGAGGGAUGAAAGCUGGGGGAGCAAACCGGAUUAGAUACCCGGGUAGUCCCAGCUGUAAACUAUGCAAACUCGGUGAUGCAUUGGCUUGAUGCCAAUGCAGUGCCGCAGGGAAGCCGUUAAGUUUGCCGCCUGGGAAGUACGUACGCAAGUAUGAAACUUAAAGGAAUUGGCGGGGGAGCACCACAAGGGGUGAAGCCUGCGGUUCAAUUGGAGUCAACGCCAGAAAUCUUACCCGGAGAGACAGCAGAAUGAAGGUCAAGCUGAAGACUUUACCAGACAAGCUGAGAGGUGGUGCAUGGCCGUCGCCAGCUCGUGCCGUGAGAUGUCCUGUUAAGUCAGGUAACGAGCGAGAUCCCUGCCUCUAGUUGCCACCAUUACUCUCAGGAGUAGUGGGGCGAAUUAGCGGGACAGCCGUAGUUAAUACGGAGGAAGGAAGGGGCCACGGCAGGUCAGUAUGCCCCGAAACUCUGGGGCCACACGCGGGCUGCAAUGGUAACGACAAUGUGUUCCAAAUCCGAAAGGAGGAGGUAAUCCUCAAACGUUACCACAGUUAUGACUGAGGGCUGCAACUCGCCCUCACGAAUAUGGAAUCCCUAGUAACUGCGUGUCAUUAUCGCGCGG
rnacentral:rRNA from 1 species